rnacentral:rRNA from 1 species
AUUGAACGCUGGCGGCAUGCCUUACACAUGCAAGUCGAACGGUAACGGGCCUUCGGGUGCCGACGAGUGGCGAACGGGUGAGUAAUACAUCGGAACGUGCCCGAUCGUGGGGGAUAACGAGGCGAAAGCUUUGCUAAUACCGCAUACGAUCUACGGAUGAAAGCAGGGGACCGCAAGGCCUUGCGCGGACGGAGCGGCCGAUGGCAGAUUAGGUAGUUGGUGGGAUAAAAGCUUACCAAGCCGACGAUCUGUAGCUGGUCUGAGAGGAUGAUCAGCCACACUGGGACUGAGACACGGCCAAGACUCCUAGGGGGGCAGCAGUGGGGAAUUUUGGACAAUGGGCGCAAGCCUGAUCCAGCCAUGCCGCGUGCAGGAUGAAGGCCUUCGGGUUGUAAACUGCUUUUGUACGGAACGAAAAGCCUUCUUUUAGUACAGGAGGGUCAUGACGGUACCGUAAGAAUAAGCACCGGCUAACUACGUG